GAUGAACGCUGGCGGCGUGCCUAAUACAUGCAAGUCGAGCGAACAGACGAGGAGCUUGCUCCUCUGACGUUAGCGGCGGACGGGUGAGUAACACGUGGAUAACCUACCUAUAAGACUGGGAUAACUUCGGGAAACCGGAGCUAAUACCGGAUAAUAUAUUGAACCGCAUGGUUCAAUAGUGAAAGACGGUUUUGCUGUCACUUAUAGAUGGAUCCGCGCCGCAUUAGCUAGUUGGUAAGGUAACGGCUUACCAAGGCAACGAUGCGUAGCCGACCUGAGAGGGUGAUCGGCCACACUGGAACUGAGACACGGUCCAGGCUACUACGGGAGGCAGCAGUAGGGAAUCUUCCGCAAUGGGCGAAAGCCUGACGGAGCAACGCCGCGUGAGUGAUGAAGGUCUUCGGAUCGUAAAACUCUGUUAUUAGGGAAGAACAAAUGUGUAAGUAACUAUGCACGUCUUGACGGUACCUAAUCAGAAAGCCACGGCUAACUACGUG
rnacentral:rRNA from 1 species